UUUUCCAUCUCUUUUUGUUUCAUUUUUUUCAUUUUCCCCAAAAUAACUUAAUAAAAAUAACUAAAGUGCCCAAAGAUUGAAUUUAAAUAAAUAAACAUAUUUUUGUGAACAAAUUUUCCUUUUUCCUUUUUCUCUUUUUUUCAUUUUUCCGAUCUAACUAAAGCCUAUUUUUUUGAAUUUUUCUUUUCAAGAAAGCAUUGAAUAAAAAUAAAAUGACUAUAACAUAUUUUUGAUGUUUUUCCCUUUUUUUCUAAAAACUCUACGCUAAUUUUAAACUUAAAAGCUAAGACUAAAAAUUAAAACUAAAAGUAAACAACGAAUGCAAGCAAUCUAA
rnacentral:lncRNA from 1 species